rnacentral:lncRNA from 1 species
GCAGCUUCCCGGGAGGUCGCCGCAGCGCAGCCGGUGACUGCUUGGUCGCCCGCAACUGCCACUCCCCCGGGAUUGAGACUCCUUUAGGGAGGGCUGAGGAGGUGCGAGAAGAGUGGGCGCAGCCUGCAGAGCCGGGCAUUUGGCCCAUGCUCUGCCCCCAACCACCCACCCAGCAAGCAGAGGUCCAGAGAUCUUAGCGCGGCCUUGCCAUGAGGAUGGGGUCUCACGACUGAGCUCGGAAGCUCACCUAAUCCUAGCUGCAGCGUGUCAGCCUAGACCCCAGACAGGGCCUUCUCCCUGUCCUCUCUUUUGGCAGGGGCGGAUGAGCCGGUUUUAUAUUUACCCUUAUUUUACAGACGGGGAAACUGAGUCUCAGAAAGAAGCAAGGACUUAUCCAAGGUUACGCUGAGUCUAAGAGACAUAAGCCUGGUCUGGAAUCCUGGGCUUGUGGUCAGCUCCCCGUUCCUCGCCGCUCCCACCUCCCAGCCUGCCCUUUUCCCACGCUCUCUCCUUUUUUCUCUGGAAGCCUCCAGAGGCGCCUGCCAUUUGGGAGCUCCUCUUCCUCUUCACUCUGUGAAAACUCUCAGAUCCACCCCUAAACCUGUUUUCCUGUAAGAGGAUAGGGAGGAGGCGAAGGGAAACUUACCUAUUGGUCCUUGUCCUAGGACCCUCCGAUUUCCUUUCCCAUAGAAGCUAGGCAGAUGUGUCUUUGUUGGAAACUGGAGAUCAGAGGCCAGAAAGGCAACACAGGUAUAGUGGUCACUAGCAUGGGCUCUAGAAAAAAAUGCUCGGAUUUCAAUCCUGACGAUCAUUUACUUUUGACCUUGAGCAAGUUAAUCUCUAAGUGCCUGGCGUCAUGGUUUUUGAGACAAUUACAUAAGGUAAAUGCAAGUACAGGUAAAACAAUGAGAAUACUGCCUGGAACAUGGAAAUCACUCAGUAAAUAUUACAGAUUUUUUUUUUCAAGACGGAGUUCUGUCUUGUUGCCCAGGCUGGAGUGCAAUGGCGUAAUCUCGGCUCACUGCACCUCUGCCUCCCAGGUUCAAGUGAUUCUCCUGCCUCAGCCACCCAAGUAGCUAGGAUUACAGGCGCGCACCACCACACUCGGCUAAUUUUUUGUAUUCAGUAGAGACAGGGAUUCACCGUGUUGGUCAGGCUGGUCUCGAACUCCUGACCUCAGGUGAUCCGCCCUCCUCUGCCUCCUAAAGUGCUGGGAUUACAGGCAUGAGCCAAUGAGCCCCCAGCCUGGAUUAUUAUUAUUGUUCCAGAAGGAAGUACUCUUACGGUUUGUUCUGGGAGGCUGCCACUAAGAGCUGUAGAAGGCAGCUGGCUUCCCCAAAGGCUGAGCCUAGGCUCUCUCCUAGGUUCUCCUGGGUACUUCUCUCAAAUAUUGUUUCCCUUGGGGAGGUUUACCUAGAGGUUAUAGCCAUUGUCUCUCGGAGCCAUAGCACCUGUUCCUCCCUGUAUCUAACCUGCCUGAACUAGGGGGAGAAAAGUGGGGAGGAGAAGGUUGCUUCAAAACGCCCAUUCAUGGUGAUGCUCCACCCGUAUCCUGCAUGCUGGGGACACAGAGACAGUAGAGGGGGAUUAGUGAGUUAAACAGUCACAGAGGCUGGGCGUGGUGGCUCACACCUGUAAUCCCAGAACUUGGGGAGGCCAAGGCUGGCGGAUCGCUUAAGGUCAGAAGUUCAAGACCAGCCUGACCAAUAUGGUGAAAUCCCAUCUCUACCAAAAAUAUAAAAUUAGCAGGGUGUGGUGGCAGGCAACUUUAGUCCCAGCUCCUCAGGAGGCUGAGGCAGGAGAAUCGCUUCAACUCAAGAGGCAGAGGUUGCAGUAAGCCGAGAUCGUGCCACUGCACUCUAGCCUGGGCAACAGAAUGAGGCUCUACCUCUAAAUAAAUAAAUAAAUAAAUAAAUAAAUAUGCCAGGCGUGGUGGCUGACACCUGUAAUCCCAGCACUUUAGGUGGCCAAGGCAGGCAGAUCACGAGGUCAGGAGAUCAAGACCAUCCUGGCCAACAUGGUGAAACCCCAUCUGUACUAAAAUUAUAAAAAUUAGCUGGGUAUGGUGGUGCCUGUAAUCCCAGCUACUCAGGAGGAUAAGGCAGGAGAAUUGCUUAAACUCGGGAGGUGGAGGUUGCAGUGAGCCAAGAUGGCGCCACUGCACUCCAGCCUGGCAACAGAGACACCCUGAAAAAAAAAAAAGAAAAAAAGAAAGUUACAGAGCACAGAAGGAGGACAUCUUUCCAGAUUGGGGAAUGGUCAGGGAAGGUUUCCAGAAGGAGGUAUAUACUCUGACCUGAGUUCCAGAGGAUCAACAGGAAGUUUCUCAGGUAAAAAGGGGCAGGGAAAGAUGUUUAACUCAGUAUGUGUAACAACAGGGAGCAACAGAUAAAAGGGUAUGUUCAGGCAUCAACAAGUAAUUCAUUAACAUUAAGAUGGGAGAUGGAGAGUUUAAAGGGAAUGAAACCAGGGCAGGGGAGGAAGAAGGAGAACAGAGGAAGGAGGCAUGGAUUCAAAUACCAGGCUAAAGAAUUUAUCCUCGGCCAGGCGUCGUGGUUCACACUCACGCUGGUAAUCCCAACACUUUGGGCAGCUGAGGCAGGAGGACUGCUUGAACCCAGGAGUUUGAGACCAGAGUGGAGAACAUAAUGUGACCCCUGUCAUAAAUAAAUAAAUAAAUAGUAUUUUUUAGAAAUAAUUUAUCCUAUAAGAUAUAUGAGUUGAGGAUGAGUGAGGUAAAGUAAAGGAAUUCAAGCCAAGGAGUGAUAUCUGACCCAAAUCUGAGAAUGAUCACUCUAGGGGUGAUGUGGAAAAAGAAAUUUGAGAAAGGAAUAAACGUCCUCAACUGAAAAGUCCAGAAACUUUUUAUCCAAGGUGUCCAGGGUGAUCUGGUGCUAGACGACCUCUCAUAUUAACUCAACUCGUAAAACACAAGUUAAAAACGAAUGCAUAACUGUAUUAAUUUGCCCUGGGAAAUGUAACUGCUCAGAAGCCCAGAAUACUCAACUGUGAAGUGAUCUCCUUCCCGGUAGGAAAUAAGUUUGGCAGAGUGAUUGCUUCUUAGAGAGUCAGAAAAUAUAGAAAGGGAUGCUCUUAAGAUUUUUUCUUUUUUUUUUUUUUU